rnacentral:misc_RNA from 1 species
ACGUAAUGACUCCUCGGUUCUGUCAAUUAUUAUUAUACCAGUGUUUAUAAGGAAGUUCGGUUUUAUUUGAAAACACUAACUUGGAUACAUUUAUUAAAGGCUGAAGUUGUAUUUCUGUACUAUAGCUGCACCUACUUCAAUUUUGCAAAAUGCCAAGAGUUGAACCUCUGUUUCUGAGGGAUUUUUUGUAUCCAUCUCUACGACGUAACCGGUUCCCAGGGUUACUGCAAUGGACAAACGAAGCAGAAAAAGAAUACGAAGUGAAAUGGAGUCAUAAAAGCAGUGGAGGAUGGCAGGUUUCGGAGUUUGAACAUUUUGCGGAAUGGGACAGGUUGAAAGGUAACUAUAGUCCAGAAAGUGCAGAAUACUGGACUUUGUCCAAACAAAGAUUUCGGAAUACGCAUCGAAAACUAGAAAUCCAUGGAAAAGUCAAAAGGCUUCCAGGUAGAAGAGGAUAUAGAAAGUACAAGAUCUGCAGCAGUUCAGAAGUCAUUGAUAAAAGGAAGGAGAACAUCUUCGAGAAGCCUCAAGAAACUAAGAUGAAAAGCAGACGGCCGGUUAUCUUAAAGGUUGGCAAAGCCAUGCAAGCAUACCAGACUGGCAUAAAUGAAACCGAGGGUUUGGGUAAUACUGUUUUCGAAAAUGCACAUGUUACCUCACUUUUUGAUUUAGAAACUGACAACGAACAAUACUUAGAGAUACAGGAUUGUUUUUCGAAGAAAAAGCUGGAAUCAGACAACCACGAAGCGUUUCUAUCCAACGCCGUUCCAGAUACCAUGACUCUGUGUAUCGACAUUAAUGACCCACUCUUGAGUAUGUUUCCAAGCGUUUUUAUGACGAUGAAAGAAACAGUGAGCUCUGAUGAUAAGGAGAAUCAUUUUGCAAUAGACGAAGGCAUCGGUGACAUGCCAAAAACCAAGAAAGAGGAUGUGUUUUAAGAGAAAUAUUCAAAUCCAUUGAAUAAUAUGUUAAAUUCACACAAGCUCAACCGUCAUCUCAAACUGAAAGAUUUUCUCAGUCACUUCACAGGAGGAUGGAAGAGGAUACUGAUACACCCACAUCUACAGUGAAAUUGACUGCCAUGGAUUAUAAGUAUCAGUGGAUCAACUCUUCAUUGUUUGUAUAAUGCAUCAGGAGACGAGUCAGUUAUUACUCUUUUUACGAGUUAAAUCUUAUAUCAUGGCUCAAUA